rnacentral:rRNA from 1 species
UGAACGCUAGCGACAGGCUUAACACAUGCAAGUCGAGGGGCAGCGAGGGAGUGCUUGCACUUCUGUCGGCGACCGGCGCACGGGUGAGUAACACGUAUGCAACCUGCCCUUGUCAGGGGGAUAAGCGAGGGAAACCUCGUCUAAUACCGCAUAUAUGGUUUUGAGGCAUCUCUUAAACAUUAAAGAAUUUCGGAAACGGAUAGGCUCGCGUGACAUUAGCUAGAUGGUGAGGUAACGGCUCACCAUGGCGACGAUGUCUAGGGGUUCUGAGAGGAAGGUCCCCCACACUGGAACUGAGACACGGUCCAGACUCCUACGGGAGGCAGCAGUGAGGAAUAUUGGUCAAUGGUCGAAGGACUGAACCAGCCAUGCCGCGUGAAGGUGACGGCCCUAUGGGUCUUAAACUUCUUUUGUAAGGGAGCAAUAAGAUCUACGUGUAGAUUGAUGAGAGUACCUUACGAAUAAGCAUCGGCUAACUCCGUG